rnacentral:sRNA from 1 species
GCAUGGCCGCAUUAGCGAUGGCAGUGGCAUCCUUUUUAGGAAAAAAAGAUAUAACGGACAGCGCGGGCCGAA